UGAGUAACACGUAUCCAACCUGCCGUCUACUCUUGGACAGCCUUCUGAAAGGAAGAUUAAUACAAGAUGGCAUCAUGAGUCCGCAUGUUCACAUGAUUAAAGGUAUUCCGGUAGACGAUGGGGAUGCGUUCCAUUAGAUAGUAGGCGGGGUAACGGCCCACCUAGUCUUCGAUGGAUAGGGGUUCUGAGAGGAAGGUCCCCCACAUUGGAACUGAGACACGGCCCAG
rnacentral:rRNA from 1 species